GACCACGCCAAAAGCAAAACUCCCAACGCAGAGAUUGGAGGGAUAUGCCUAGCAGCAGCGAUGAGGCAAGUUCCUCUCCUUCCCCGCACCAUUUUUUAGAACGGGACUCAGAGGAGAUAGGGCGGACAACGCAACGCCAGUACAGGAAUCCCCGAGCCCCGAUACCCCGCGAGGAUUAUCCCCAGAGGACACGUACCAGCAGGAGAUACUGAUUACUGCCCUGAUUUAGAAUACAUAGUUGUGAGCAGCGACUUUAGAAAAUGUCUAAAGGGUUGAUUUUAUUACACCAUUGGGAAUUGCCUGGAACACAACGCACAAUUUUUUCACACCAUUGCGACACGAUGGAUGGAUUUGGAGGCUAUUAUAUGUAUUUUUCACAAUAAUAUGAACUUUUAACGUUUAACUUUUUCUAUGGAUUUUACAACACUUUUUAUAUGUUAUAUAUCCAGAUAGGCAUUGGUGAUACUGUUAAGAGCCAAUUGUAAUAAUUUUUUUAAGGGUUAAAUGUGAUACAUUGAUUGAUUAAUUAAGAGGUGGGACUUCCUGUGUGGCUCUUUAAAGCAACCUUUCACUGUGAUUUGUACACACUUGAAAAAGGGCCUUUUGCUGCCCGAAACAUGUUGUGUGGACGCACAAUAAAGCACUGAUUAGCAGGUAUUCUGCUGUUUGCCUCUGAUUUCCAUACCCAUGAUUGAAGGACUCUUGUGGUGACUUGACGGAACACCAGAGGGAAUCAAGGCUUGGCGUUCUGUUUGUUACCCUGUAAGUGAUUUAAUUUAUUUAAUUUAUAAUUUUAAUUAUUAUUAUUUGAACAACCUACAA